AACGAACGCUGGCGGCGUGCCUAACACAUGCAAGUCGAGCGCGAAUGGAGCAAUCCUAGUAGAGCGGCGCACGGGUGCGUAACACGUGGGUAAUCUGCCUCAAAGCCCGGGAUAACCUGCCGAAAGGCAAGCUAAUACCGGAUAAGCCUACGGACUCUUCGGGGUCUGAAGGAAAAGGUGGCCUCUGUAUACAAGCUAUCACUUUGAGAUGAGCCCGCGGCCCAUCAGCUCGUUGGCGGGGUAACGGCCCACCAAGGCAACGACGGGUAGCUGGUCUGAGAGGACGAUCAGCCACACUGGAACUGAGACACGGUCCAGACUCCUACGGGAGGCAGCAGUGGGGAAUUUUGCGCAAUGGGCGAAAGCCUGACGCAGCAACGCCGCGUGUGUGAUA
rnacentral:rRNA from 1 species